rnacentral:rRNA from 1 species
CAGUCGCCGCGGUAAUACGUAGGGUGCAAGCGCUAAUCGGAAUUACUGGGCGUAAAGCGUGCGCAGGCGGUUCGCUAAGACAGAUGUGAAAUCCCCGGGCUUAACCUGGGAACUGCAUUUGUGACUGGCGGGCUAGAGUAUGGCAGAGGGGGGUAGAAUCCCACGUGUAGCAGUGAAAUGCGUAGAGAUGUGGAGGAAUACCGAUGGCGAAGGCAGCCCCCUGGGCCAAUACUGACGCUCAUGCACGAAAGCGUGGGGAGCAAACAGGAUUAGAUACCCCUGUAGUCCCUGUCUCUUAUAC